rnacentral:rRNA from 1 species
GACGAACGCUGGCGGCGUGCCUAAUACAUGCAAGUAGGACGCAGUUGCGAACGGGUGAGUAACGCGUAGGUAACUGCCUAUUAGAGGGGGAUAACUAUUGGAAACGAUAGCUAAUACCGCAUACUAGUAGAUGGACCUGCGUUGUAUUAGCUAGUAGGUAGGGUAAUGGCCUACCUUGGCGACGAUACAUAGCCGACCUGAGAGGGGGGUCGGCCGCACUGGGGCUAGGACACAGCCCAGACUCCUACGAGAGGCAGCGGUAGGGGAUCUUCGGCAAUUGGAGGAACCCUGACCAAGCAAAGCCGCGUGAGUGAAGAAGGUUUUCGGAGCGUAAAGCUCUGUUGUUAAGGAAGCGGUACUUGACCAGAAAGGGACGGCUAACUACGUGCCAGCAGCCGCGGUAAUUC